GAUGAACGCUGGCGGCGUGCCUAAUACAUGCAAGUCGAGCGAACAGAUGAGGAGCUUGCUCCUCUGACGUUAGCGGCGGACGGGUGAGUAACACGUGGAUAACCUACCUAUAAGACUGGGAUAACUUCGGGAAACCGGAGCUAAUACCGGAUAAUAUAUUGAACCGCAUGGUUCAAUAGUGAAAGACGGUUUUGCUGUCACUUAUAGAUGGAUCCGCGCCGCAUUAGCUAGUUGGUAAGGUAACGGCUUACCAAGGCAACGAUGCGUAGCCGACCUGAGAGGGUGAUCGGCCACACUGGAACUGAGACACGGUCCAGCCUCCUACGGGAGGCAGCAAUAGGGAAUCUUCCGCAAUGGGCGAAAGCCUGACGGAGCAACGCCGCGUGAGUGAUGAAGGUCUUCGGAUCGUAAAACUCUGUUAUUAGGGAAGAACAAAUGUGUAAGUAACUAUGCACGUCUUGACGGUACCUAAUCAGAAAGCCACGGCUAACUACGUG
rnacentral:rRNA from 1 species